UACGGAGGGGACUAGCGUUGUUCGGAAUUACUGGGCGUAAAGCGCACGUAGGCGGACCAGAAAGUAUGGGGUGAAAUCCCAGGGGCUCAACCCUGGAACUCGCCUCAUAAACUCCCUGGUCUAGAGUUCGAGAGAGGUGAGUGGAAUUCCGAGUGUAGAGGUGAAAUUCGUAGAUAUUCGGAGGAACACCAGUGGCGAAGGCGGCUCACUGGCUCGAUACUGACGCUGAGGUGCGAAAGCGUGGGGAGCA
rnacentral:rRNA from 1 species